UGUCCUCCUUCCCAUAUUUGUUGUUCAAAAAAUUUAUUAAUAAAACAAUAAAACUUAAUUUCUCCCAUAUGUGAAAAUUUUUUGUCACUUUCCUCACUAUACAACACACUUUUUUUGCACAGAAGAACCAUAGAUUUUGUGAAGAACGGAAGAACAAUAGCUUUUUCGUCACAGAUUUCCUUCAAAAUUUAUCACAUAUUUCUUGUUUAAGAUUGAAGAGCCGAAGAACAUGAAUUUCCUCACAGUUUCUUUGUUAAAGAGUUGUUCCGUCGGAUUUCGCAGAUGAAAAAAAUGCUUCACACAUGGAGAUCUCACGUCAUAAAGCUUUGUGUUUUUGGAAUAGGUUUCAUCAGCUGAAGUUAAGUUGUGUUUCUAGGAUGAACUAAGUUGAAGAUAAGUCGUGUUUCUCUGAAGAACUGAAGAGCUGAAGCUGAAAAUAUCUACGAUUCUCUUCUCCUUGAUACCGAUUUCGGCAAGCGUAAGUAGCUACUCUACUAAUCAUCUUGUCAAUAAAUUGAUUUUUUUUCUAUUUAGAAGAAGAGAAAAUAAGGAAUUGAUUACUUUGGGGUUGUUGGAAUGGAACAAAUCACGAGUUACGGCUGAAUUCCAAAGUACAGGAAGAAAGUACGAAAAUUCUAAACCCUCCAAACUAAUUCCAAAGAACAUUGUAGCACAGUGAGUUAGUAUCUAUCAUUAAUAGCUUGUGUUGACUUUCGAUAUAAAACCCUCCAUGCUAAUUCCAAAGCACAUUAUUGAAUUGUAGUUAUGCAGGUUAAAUGGUACUGUUGCGAAUGUUUUCUACAUAUUUCAUUUGUUUUGGACAUCCUGGUGGUUCAAAUUGUAUUAAGCCUGCAAGUGUUGCAGAUGUUACAUAUGCAGGUUAUUAUCGUGAGUUAUGCUAUCAUGACAACACGUUCCCUUGACCUGAACUAGAAAAUGAGGGCAUUGCGAGUUUUACCAAUGUUUCUGUUGCCUGGCUUAUCCUUAAGUACAUAUUCAGCAAUUGGAAGUUUUACAAGGAUGUAUAUAUCCAACAUCUGUAAGGUCAACUAGUAUCGGAGUUUCAACUUCUGUGAAAAAAUUGGGGCCAUACUUUCUCUUAUUGUUGUGGUGCAAUUGGUAAGAGGGUGCCAUCAAAUGACUGCAAUCAUAUGUUUCGAAGCAGUUGUAGUCUUACCGGCAGCUAGUGUUCUGCUCAUUUCAGUAGGGACAAAGUGUAGGGAACUAUAUGAUACUCUUGUCUACAUUUCUAUAUGAUACUCUUGUCUACAUUUCUACUGUCUUUCAUUCUCAUUCAUAAAACAUAAAGGGAUUUAUUUCUUGUUUGUGGAGCUUGUUGAUUAUAUUUGGUGAUGACUUAAUUUCUUCAUGGUGGAGUUGAUCAUGUAUUCACCCAAUACCAAAUCAUAGUCUAUGAGUUGGAGCUCUAAGUUUGUUUGCAACUUUGCAGAUAGUUGAAACUGAAUGCUUAUUGAGACCGAUCAUUUUAGCUGAUGAGUUCUUGGUGUAGGUGAAAGGUUAGAAGGAUUGUGAAGGAAAGCUUGGAUUCUAGACUCGUUCAAGCAAAGUGAAGUAUGUCCUCAGUUGACUCGAGGGCAUACAUAUAUGUCCUUUAUUUUAAAGUAUUGUAAUAGACUACGUAUAUCUUAAAUUCGUAUAGUAUGGGCCGUGUCCCAAGUAUUCUUACGUCUAAGUAUGGCAUAUGUUGAGACUUAGCAUUUCUAUGAUUUUAUAUAAAAAUAUGUUUUAAGAUAUU